rnacentral:rRNA from 1 species
GAUGAACGCUGGCGGCGUGCCUAAUACAUGCAAGUCGAGCGAAGCGGGGACGGGUGAGUAACACGUGGAUAACCUCCUAUAAGACUGGGAUAACUUCGGGAAACCGGAGCUAAACCGGAGACUCAUAGAUGAAUCCGAUCUGCAUUAGCUAGUUGGUAAGGUAACGUCUUACCAAGGCAACGAUGCAUAGCCGACCUGAGAGGGUGAUCGGCCAUCCUGGAACUGAGACUCGGUCCAGGCUCCUACGGGAGGCAGUAGUUGGGGAUCUUCCGCCAUGGGCGAAAGCCUGACGGAGCCACGCCGCGUGAGUGAUGCAGGUCCUCGGAUCGUAAGCCUCUGUUAUUCGGUAAGCCGUACCUAGUCAGGAAGCCACGGCUUACUACGUGCCAGCAGCCGCGGUAAUUC